AUUUAUAUAGUUUAAUUAAAACAUUACAUUUUCAUUGUAAAAAUAAAAUAUAAAAUUUUUUUUAAAUA
rnacentral:tRNA from 1 species